rnacentral:hammerhead_ribozyme from 1 species
AUCCAGGUGACGAGUCUCAAAUAGGACGAAACGCGCGUCCUGAAU